UACAGAGGUCUCAAGCGUUGUUCGGAUUUAUUGGGUGUAAAGAGCUCGUAGGCGGUUCGGUAAGUCGGAUGUGAAAUCUCCACGCUCAACGUGGAGGGGCCAUUCGAUACUGCCGUGACUCGAGUCCGGUAGGGGAGUGUGGAAUUCCCGGUGUAGCGGUGAAAUGCGCAGAGAUCGGGAGGAACACCCGUAGCGAAGGCGGCACUCUGGGCCGGUACUGACGCUGAGGAGCGAAAGCGUGGGGAGCGAACAGG
rnacentral:rRNA from 1 species